AGUAACAGUAGAUGUGUGUGUGUGUGUGCGUUGGUGCGACCGGACUGUUGGGACAAAACACCUGAAUACAUACCGUCACUAUGAGCACACACCGUAACUGUUGGAACAGCGCUACUGUCCCGAUAAGUCGGGCGGCAUACACGUGUUCUAACAUGCGUGACUUACUACCUCCCGCGUUUUCUCGUUAUGUCCUAAUGUUUACGGUGAACCCGUUUUUCUGUGUGUAUCAGUGUAUGCUCAUUGUGUAUAAUCUCCCACUAUCGUCCCUUUCCUGCUACUGCUGCUCCAUACACAUUAGAGCGCGUCACAGUCGCGUUUCAUUGGUCUAGCCGCAGAACUUCUCGCCCGCGAUUGGCUGGAUUUUUAUCGCCUUUCAUUGGUCGAUCAGCGGAAUCCCCGUCAGCGAUUGGCUGGAUUUCAUGUCAAUCAAUAUCAACCCGCUUCACGUUUCCAAUUGGCUGCCGAAGACACGAGAGGUAGACCUUUAAUUCCGCCGGAGUAAAGCAACUACGAAAGAGAACUAUUUGUGCAUCUUAAAGCAUCGAUGCUUCACAAAAGGAUGGAUAACUGGUAUGCCGUAAUGAUGGUCACAGAAAUCCUAAAUGAAGGCAGUAGUUCUGUUUCUGUUUACUACAAGGGAUAUCUUUCCAAAUGAGGAAAUUACCCACAACUAUGGUGAUUCUUCUUGGCCAUGGCAUUCAAGGGAAUUGCAUGAAGCAUCAUUGGUGACUGAGAUUGAAUGCAGUUUGAAAACUUCCAUGUCAG